GAUGAACGCUGGCGGCGUGCCUAAUACAUGCAAGUCGGGCGAACGGACGAGAAGCUUGCUUCUCUGAUGUUAGCGGCGGACGGGUAAGUAACACGUGGAUAACCUACCUAUAAGACUGGGAUAACUUCGGGAAACCGGAGCUAAUACCGGAUAAUAUUUUGAACCGCAUGGUUCAAAAGUGAAAGACGGUCUUGCUGUCACUUAUAGAUGGAUCCGCGCUGCAUUAGCUAGUUGGUAAGGUAACGGCUUACCAAGGCAACGAUGCAUAGCCGACCUGAGAGGGUGAUCGGCCACACUGGAACUGAGACACGGUCCAGACUCCUACGGGAGGCAGCAGUAGGGAAUCUUCCGCAAUGGGCGAAAGCCUGACGGAGCAACGCCGCGUGAGUGAUGAAGGUCUUCGGAUCGUAAAACUCUGUUAUUAGGGAAGAACAUAUGUGUAAGUAACUGUGCACAUCUUGACGGUACCUAAUCAGAAAGCCACGGCUAACUACGUG
rnacentral:rRNA from 1 species